UACGUAAGUGGCGAGCGUUAUCCGGAAUUACUGGGCGUAAAGCGUGCGCAGGCGGUUAUGUAAGACAGGUGUGAAAUCCCCGGGCUUAACCUGGGAACUGCAUUUGUGACUGCAUAGCUAGAGUACGGUAGAGGGGGAUGGAAUUCCGCGUGUAGCAGUGAAAUGCGUAGAUAUGCGGAGGAACACCGAUGGCGAAGGCAAUCCCCUGGACCUGUACUGACGCUCAUGCACGAAAGCGUGGGGAGCAAACAGG
rnacentral:rRNA from 1 species